UCCCUGGUAGUUGAGUUGUUAAGACUGUGAGCUUCCAAUGCAGGGGGCAUGGGUUUGAUCCCUUUUUAGGGAA
rnacentral:tRNA from 1 species